AAAAAGAUAAGCUAAGCAAGCUAAUGGGUUCAUACCCCGUAUAUAAAGGUUUAAACCCUUUUCUUUUUA
rnacentral:tRNA from 1 species